rnacentral:lncRNA from 1 species
GAACUUCUGAAAUUUAUGUCUUCUAAAUAAAAACUGUGCGUACACUAUAGCUAUUAGCUGAAUUACCUUUUUUACCUAACCUAACAAGUCAAAGAUUUGUUUUUUGACGAAAGAGAGUCAAAGGUUUGUUUUAUGUUAAAAGGUAAAAAUGUUUUCCUAGUCAAAAGUUUCUCGUUAAAAAAAAAAAAAAAGUUUCUCGUUAGUUGUUAUUUUAUAAGCUACCAUUUUCAACCGAUUUAACCACUUUACCGUUGCAUACUUUCAGGAGUAUUUUUGUAAUGAUUUUGUAUAGACAACUUUUUUUUUUGUUCCACAAAUUCUUGAAACAAUCAGCUAAGGUAACAAAUCAUGAAAGAUCUCCGAACUAAUUAUAUUUGAAAGAUUGUGUUAUAGUCACAUCACGUCUUAUAUUUGUAUAUGUAUGCAUAUGUAUAUGUGAGAAAUUUACCUAAUUACUACGCUAAUUUAUGCAAAAUUUGUGGUUCAUGAUCCCAAUUCUCCGACAAAUCUAAGUAUUAACGUCAUUUUUAUUUCACAUCUGUUCACAAAAGACGACAAACUCCUUUUUAAGAAUUUUGAUUUAAUUUAUGUUGAAUUCUGUACUAAUUACGCUUUUUUUUUGUUGCCAAAAAUCGCUUUACUUUAUUGUGUCCUUAUUGCCACAUUAAUAAGCAAGAUUCGUGUGAUACUGCCACUUGAUAUUUCAACAAAGAGUUUCUUAUGUUUCAUAAUGUAGAGAUAUGAAAAAAAGUUACAAAUAUAUAUAUUUACCUAUAGUUUCUACUUUUUGGUCGUUAAUAUUUGUUUCCUUUGUAGUUUUAUUUAUAACUAAUGUAUAUGUUGGUAUAGUUGAUUAGUUGUUAACAAAAUUUCAUGUGAGUGUAAGAUAUGUAGGUUUAUAUUAACCGUUUAAAUCAUCAACUUCGUUUUAGUCAAAGGUGGUAAUUCUAUGCUUUAAAUGUUUAACCAAAAAUUCAAAGGUGAAAAUGAUAUAUAUCUCGGUUGUCAUAACAUAUACUUGGGAAUAAUACAUUUAUACAUAAACCAAAUAUGUACACAGUACACACUCGCAUCUAUAAUAGAAAGAUUAAAAGUAAAUAGUUAGCCGAAAUCUGAUAUAUUUAUUAUAAAUUCAUAAUUAAAGCUUAAUGGUUGCAUGCAUGACGUUAAACAAAAAGAGGGUCAAAAUAUGAACCCUAGCUAGCUAUGAUUUGUGAAUAUAUAAUAUAUAAGAAACAUAUAUAUAAUAGAUAAUUAAGCAACACCCUGAUUGAGCAACCUCUCAACGAGAUUGUAAACAUAUAUAUAUAGAGGACAACUACUCAAUAUAUCUCUUAAUUAAUUAUCCAUUAAUCAAGCUCCUAAUAACGGCUGCUUGGGGGCUGUUAGGAUCAAUGGUGUCCAAAAGCUGAGUCAAUCGAUCACUGAGGUCAUCGGCUUCCUUGUUCAAGUUUCUUAUGUAGUUGCAAGUCUCUUGUAACACUUUCGACGCUGAUACCUACAUACAUUUUUCAAAGUUAUACAUUAUCUGUAGAGUAAAAUUUUAUAUAAUAUAUAUAUAUAUAUAUAUAUAUAUAUAUUUAUUUUUUAAAAUAUAAACAUCUAUAAACGAGUCUUAGCUUGAAGUUAUGAUGCUAAUGGCUUGACAUAUAACAAAAUGCGAUCUCUAAGAAAAAAGCUUUUAGAUAAAUGCUCUCAUAACUUGUCAAAAAAACUAGCACAUUGUUUUUGAAAUUGAGAACCAAUUUGAUUGGUUGUAUGUACUAUAAGAAAACGAGACUUCCAUUUAUAGUAACCGGCUUUUUCUUAAAUUUCUAGUGUUUCGUCCUUUUCUUGUUUUAUAACUAAGAAAUAUAUUUAAAAAAACUAAGUCGGUGCUGUACAUAAAUGUAUUGAAUUGAUAGUCCGUGAAGCAAUAUAGUCGUCUCACAUUGAAUGUAAUUAAUCAAUGAUAAAAGCAAACUUAGUUAGAACUUAUAGAAGCUUAAUGCUGAAGUUAGGGGAAAUAUGUUCCCCUCUCCUCAAAGUCCGGUUAAUGGUCAAAAGUAUUUUUAGAAACUUCAAAAUGCACUCUCCCACACGUAAAUCGAUAUAUAUAUAUAUAUAUAUAUGACUAUAAUGCACUAUUCCAGCAUGUUGUAUAUUUGUUUUCUAUAGUAUUAAACAUAGUAACUAUUAACUAACCCUAUUUUAAUAUCAUGAAUUCAAACUUAUAUGACUACGCCGAACCUUCUUAGUACAUACUACAUAUCUAGAUGACUAUACGGUAAAUUUUCUAAAGAUUUUUACCGUGCUGGAACGACGGUUCUGGCGAAUCUCCGGAAUGGACUGCCCGAGCUUUGAGAUGAGAUCAGCGAUCUGAUCAUCGCUAAUUCUUGAUGAUGAGCUUGCUUGCCUCGACCUUCUGCUAGACGACAUUUUGAUUUGGAGAAAUAUGUUAAAAUAUUCUUAUAUAUGAAUCCAAGAACGCGGGCUCACUUGUAUUGAUGGCUUGUGGGUUAGAAAGGAAGUAUAAUUGUUCGUGCUUGUCGAAAGAAAGGGAGAAGGAAGAAGGAGAAGAAAUAUGGUGUUAUAUAGAGAGCUAGGACCACACUUAUAGAGAGAAAGAGAGAACGAGAGAGAGAGAGUAAUGCAAAUAAACUUAGGGGCUCGUAUUGGUUUCUGCUUUAUAUAUAGAGUUUUAAUGAGUUUAAAUGUAACAUAGAUUCUAUUGUUAUUCGAUUAACAUUUUAUUAAACUCUUUUAAAGUUUAGUGUUAUUAGUUAUUGAUUUUAAAAAAGCCAUUUUAAAUCUUCAUAAAUAUGAGGUUAUUGGAUUCAAAUUUUUAUCAAACCGUUAACUUUUUUGUUAUUCAAUUAAAAAAAAAAAUCUCUAACUAUUAAUGAAUUAAAUAAUUAGGUUAUUGGUUUAUGAUUUUAAACACUUUUCUUUACAAAAUGAAGUCAUGAAAAUAUCAUCAAAAUAGACUUUACAAAACUAUAAAAAUCUAACUAACAAUAUUACAAAAAACUCUCUAACAAUCUCUUAGAAUAUUUUAUUAUUAUACAAUUUAUGGUUUUAUCAAAAUUAUCUGAAGUCUAUAUAAAUUAGAAUCCAAUAACAUCCUCUUAAAUAUGGGUGUUGGAUAUGACAAAGACAAGUGCAUAAGAGAGAACAGUGGUUUAGAAUGGAGUAUUGGAUACAAGACACGUGAAUUUACAAUUGAUCAGAUUGUGAUGUAUAUAAUAUCAUAUUUGCUUUGUUUCAAUAAAAACUUUGUUUGUAUUUUUACUUUUUAUUUUUAUUUUUAUAUCAGUUAUCUCAUUUUAUCACUAUACUUAGAAGAUAAUUUAUGUAGUUUUUAAUUUAUGUGAAACAUGUAAAAAUAAUACUUUUAGUGAAACAUAGAAGUAUGUCUAAUAUCAAAUAUUAUAACUAAUUAUCUAGUACUAUAUAUUGAUGAUCAUUUUUGGUAAAUUACUUUAAAUUAAAUUUUAUUACAUAUUACAUAAUUGCAAAAUAAUUUAGAGUGGAAAACAAAAUUCAUAAAGGACAAUAUGAAAAGAAAGAGUCAAUCCAAUUUAUACUUAUUUGCUUAGAAAAAAGACAUCACGUCAAAACCAAUAAACAUAUUGCUGAUAUUUUUAAUUUUAAUUUCUUAUAUUCACAAAAACCUAUAUUAUUUCUAUUGAAAAUUACAUUAAUAUAUAGAUAUACAGAUAUAUACAUAUAUAUAUAUUCUUAUUACUGUACAUCUAUUUUUUGUAUUGAAACAACAUUAUUAUAAAUAAUAAUAAGAAGAAGAAUAAGAAUACCACUUAGUUAUAUAUAACACAUCCUUUUAAUUUAUAAUACAUAUUCAUAUUUUAAGAGCAUAAACAGUAAGGUUAGUCUGUGAAAUCCGAAGUUUAUGGUUGGUGGAUUAUUGAUAAUGUUUUUGUGGAUGUAAUUUUGUGCGGAUUGGUUCGGUAAAAAAUAUGUAAAACAAACUAUAAAUUACGUACAUCCUUAAUAGCUGCACUAGCUUUACUUAAUCCUUGAGGUGAGAGUUUUUGAGAAGGUAUCAUUAUCUUUAAGACCAAAGGAAGACCACAAUCCAGAAAUUCGAAUUAUCUUGAUCAUAAUUUGUAAUUGUCAUGUGCCAAAACUGUUGAGGUCAUAGAGAAACUAAUAUUUACUGAAGUGGGAAGCUAUUUCUGAUUUCAACCAAUAAUAAAACAAUGAACAUUAAAACAUCAUCACGUGAUUUUAUCUUAUUAUAGUAGCUAGUGUAACGCUUUGAAUAUAUCAUUAUUUUGUGGUGGAUGCAUGAUGAUACGUUAAACUAAGAAGAUUUUGUGUAUCAGUUAUAUAGAUACGGGUAAAUAAAAACAAUGGACUUAGGUCAAUUUGAGAGGAACGUACGGUAUCUAUCCUAACCAAUAGGGAGGGGCUAGUCUCCCCAAACUCUUUCACGUGUACCUCAAAUACAUAUAGUGUAUGCUUAUUUAUGUAAUGCCUUAGUCAAAUCCACCAAACCCAAUAUUUUUCGAGCUUGCUCUAGCUAAGACGACGUAGACUUGGUAAUUUCCAAACUAACAAACAUAUAUAUUAGUGUUUCCAAGUUACUAUGAAUGUUAUGUUGGUCAUAAUUAACAACAAAACAUUUGUUGGAUCUAAACACAUGAUGAUGAUAUGCAAAAGAUAUGAAUGAUGAUAAGUAGAUGCAUGAUAUAUAUUAGAAAACAAGGAGAUGGUGUGAUAAACUGGACAUUAAAGAAAAAUGUUUGCUGAUGAGCACACACAGGUGGGACUAUUUAUGUUUUAAUAAUAUAUUUCUGUAAGUUAAAAAUUGUUAUAAAAUAGAAACCAGUGUUAACCUCCCAUGUGAUGAUAGGACACUCUUUCUCCCCUCUAAUCAGGGAGCAUGAGCAUCCCCAUCCUUCACGCCCCCUCCCACAUGACACCUCUCUCUCUCUCUCUCUUUUCUCUGUGUUUUCUCUUUUCUUACAUCUAUGUAUCUUCAUAGAACUCUAAAAACGCUUAGGAUAGAAUAAGAAACUAAGAACUUGAACCAAUACAUUCACUUGUCAAAUGUUUUCAAAUCAAAGCCUCGUAAAUCAUAACAAUAUCCAAAAGUAUAUUAUGCUUUUCUAUUCUUGGGACACUUGUUAUUUGCAAGAGUCUUUCAAUUUUCUAGAGCAAACCAACAAUCAUUUGUAUAAAAUAAAAAUAUAUAACCGAGCAUGUUGGAUAUCAUCAAUUCUCUAGACACAACUACUGCAUGCUACCCUAAGUCACAAGGCAUUGGAUAAAAAUAUAUAUUAUCCAAGUACUGACGUGGCAAGUUGUAAAUGUUCAGAACAUAGAAGAAGGAUCUUUUUUACUCAGUAUAUAUAUAUAUCCAAAUUUUGAUUAGAGCUUUUGUCUAAGAUUUGAGGCAGGACUACAUUAACAUGUCAAAAUAGUAGCUACUAGAGAGAUUAACUAAUGAAUCUUAUUAUCUUAAAAUUUUUCGAUAGAUAUGAUAAAAGGCCAAAUCAUCAAAGAGAGGGACGGGUGUUCUUGGAAAUGUAGACAUUGAUUGUGAAUGCUUGUCUGCGUCUGUUUGUAUUCUAAAUGUCUAUCGAAUAUGUACCACACCAUAUUUUCUUCAUUUUUUGUUUCUUAUAUUUAUUUUCUUCAUAUUCUUGAUUUUGUGUCUCGAAUUUAAAUCGUAGGUUUCUUGUAACCAACGACACGCUCCUGUCAUAAUAAUUUGACAUAUACUUAUGUCUCCGAUCUCUGUAUCUAUAUUUUGUGUUUGUAAUAGUUCUUGGUACUUAUCACUUAUGCUAAUUAUGCUUGGAAUGUAUAUGCUAAAACGUCGAUCGUCCAGGGUUUUAUUUGUGAGCUGGUGGUUUACACUACGAUGCCUUGCUCCUCAACACAUGUAAAGGGUUGAUCAAUUUCAAUUUCCUCAAACUAUAUAUAGAAGUGUCAACAAACAAAAAUAAGUAGAGAAGAGGUAACAAAAUGAAUUACAAAGUAUAACAAUAAUCCGACUUGCCUAAUUAAACCACUAUGAACAAAGAAGUAAGCUUCACAGUACACAAAUAAAUAAGAAUAACUAAUGACGUUAACAUUAUAAUCCAAAUAUAGCAUUAACCUUGUAUAUACACAUGUAUGUAUAUAAAAUAAUAAAUCACAAAACUAUUUAUAUCCAUAAAAUGAUUUUGAUACAAAUGUAAACAAAUAAAAUUAGCCAACUCGUAAACGACUCUGUUGGCCCACGAGAUUUUUUAACCUUUCAACCUCGUUCGUACGGCAGAGUGAAGCCGACAGGCCUAUUCUCUUUUACAGACUAGAAAAACUAACUUUAUUAACCCAAGUCCUAUCCUAUCCUAUCCAUUGGUGGACUAAUCCAGAUCAAUCCACAAAUUUAUAUAUCUCUUCUCACACUGAGGUAUCCAUCUAUUUGAUAAGUUCGCUAAGCAUUAAAUCAAAGAUUAGGUUUUCUUCCAUAACUGAGUAAGUAAAAUCCAUAAAGCCAAUCUCUCAAGUAAUAAUAGCUAACUUAAAGCUAUCAUCAACUAUCUUGGCCAGACUUGUCCAUACACAUCCUUCUUCGUGUAGCCUCCUCGGUCCCAUGACCAUGGAACAUCUGGAAAUAUCACAGUGCCAGUAAAAGCAUUAAGGACCAGCGAAAGAAAGAAGUUAUAUUAUCUUGGAGAAUGAAUAGGCAAAAAACCUUCUGGUGAGUAAGGCGUAGGAGGUAGUUGAUAAGGAAUUGGUAAUGAGAUUAUCUCAGGCGAAUCUCUGUCUCCUUGCCAGCUCAUUGUCACUAGCUUACUCCUCUUCUCUACCUCGUCUUUCGUCUCUUGUUUUGCCUGUCAACAUAAGAUCAUUGGGAGGGAUAAAUCAAAGUUUGGGUCCGGGUUUAUUGGCUAAGGAAUAGAUCAUUUUACCUUCACUACACUUGUAUUGUUCUCGGUGCACGGAAAUUUACAACCUUGUGCUUUCGUUGGAGAUGGUAGGAACAAGACGCCCAACUAACAUCAUUAUCGUCAAUGGAAAUUGGUCAGUAGUUAUAAGACAUCCAAGGCUUUGCAUGAAACACAGGAGUUUACCUCGUAGGAACGUAUCAUCAAUUGGGAAUUGUUUUUCUGAAGUGCUCCCCAAGCCGCUUUGCUAAGGUUCGAUGAGGUUAGCAAGAACCAUCUAUGGAGCAAAACAAGAACUGAUCAGUAAAGGUUCAUAUUUUAUUAAUUGAGUAAUCAGAUAUUGAGACUUUAUGAACUUUACGCAAGCUUCUGGUCGCUGUAACGUGUGAAUGUCUUUAUAUGUGGCAUUGCACGACUGUAAAAUUAAAAAGGAUCAGAAUUGAGUAGUAAUCAUAAGCUGUAUUUGUAAAUGUUUGGUUUUUUAAAGUUACCAGCGAGCACUAUGAUUGGCUUUCCAUUUAGCCCAAUAUUUUAUUAAGAAUGGUUUCUCCACGUUCUUCAAUGGGCUCGGGAUUGCAUUGCCAGCAGCAUAACCCUUUGUUUGAAGAUUUCACGUCUUAUAAGACAAAACGAUAAGAUAUACAAAGAAAUAUGAAAUCUUUAUUCAAAUUACCUCUAGAGAACACCUGACAUCUUCUACAGUAGGCCAUAUUAUCAACGGAUCCCCUGGACCAAGAGGAGUUUUGUCCUCUGUAAGACCAGAAGACAAAGAAUCUCUAAAUUCAGCCAACCACUUCUCGUCCAAAGAACCAAGUGAAGAAAACUACAAUACGAAAAGAUUGAUAAAGAAGACUUUUGGCAAGCAAUACAAUAGCAAAAAACAACUUGGAAUGGAACACUACCUGAUAAACUAAAGGGGAUCUGCGGAACUCUCUAUCAAAAAUGUAUUCUUGAAGGAUAGUUCGUAGCUUCAUGUGUCCCCAUUUAUUCAAGUUCAAACCAGUGUGGUAUCCAGGGACCGAUGCAAUUAGACGAACCUGGAAUUUUUUUUUAGAUAUCUUAGUAAACAAUAAGUAUACAAAUCAGCCAAAAUAUUUAAGAGAAACAGAAGGUACCGUAGCGUUGGAAUAAUCAAACUUUUUGAAGAAGGCUGCAUUGAUCUUCAUAUUACCACGACCAGGUAAGCUUGCAGUAAACUCAGGCCACUUAAGAACAUUGAGGUAAUCGAUAAGAUCACCUUCGAAUCCACAACCUUUAGGUGAAUCUUUGUCAUCAUCUUUCCAAGGGAAAUCUUGCAUCCACAAACCUUGGCUUUUGUUGUUCCAAUCAACAUGGAUCAGAUUUGCAGUGUGUACAACAACUCUCACACCUCUUGGAUAGACAAGAAAUAUAGCUUUCGAAUGGUGUGUCCCAAAUGAAAUAGGUAACCGGGGCUUAUGAAGACUCCAAUUAGCUGGCUUUUUCCUCUGAUAAACAAAACAGAGAUUGGAGAUUUCUGUCUACCAUUAACAUCAAUCAAAAGAAAUCAGCAAACCGUCAUAACAAACCUGUAUAUACUCUUGCCUACCAUCACCUUCUCCAUGGAUGACCAUAACCUGAGGAAUGUUGGCCAGUUUCGGGCAAGCUACAAAAGGAUAUAUACAGUGAACCAAGUUAAGUUAUCUGAACAGACUCGAGACAACCAAAAACAGAACAACACUAGCUUAGUUACCCCAGAAAUGUACCAGAAAUGUACUUAUCGUUUCGAUAAACUCAACAAACAAAAUCCGAGAAAAUUCACCUGACAUCAACCAGUCUAUAUCGACCAUAUAAUUCGAUAGGAUUGCAGCAACAACGUCUCCCUGUCAUAAUACAAACAAAUCUUUAGUCAAAGAUGUCUGAAUAAAACAAUUAACUAACAUGUUUUUCAUAAGACUAACCUCAAUGACAUCAUUAAUGGAAACACAAGAGGUAUUAGCCCAAUCAGGCAAUCCAUUAACACUCAAAAGCCUAAACGUUGAAGGCAGUUUCUCAUCAGGUGGAACAAAUCGACGAAUCGCCUCUACAUCAUCAUCAUUGACUCCUUGUGCUUCACCCUAAAAGAGUUUCAUCAAAUCAAACAAAGCCUCAAGAAACAAUAAGAAAAAACCUGCAUUCUUAAGUUAGGCCAAGUAAGUAAGUAACCUUUCGAGCUUUCUUAGCAGGUGUUUCAUGGCUCCCUCUGCUUUCAGUGGAUAGCAAAACUAGCUUAAAGAAAUGAUGACCAGGGAUCAAUUCAAUAAGAUCAUCAUUACUUACUAAAACCUUUUCACAGGGUUUUAAUUUCUUCCUCUCGCCGUCGCCGGAAGACCUAAUAACCACUGGAUUCGUUCCUUCCUACCCAAAAGACACAAACUUGAUAUGAUUAAUGUGACCUGGCGAUGAAAAGUUUGAUUUUUUUUUGGUUUGAUUGUUUAUAGAUUUACCACAGACAAGGACACUGAGCCAGACGUAGAAACGAUGAUGGUGAUGUGUUUGCGGCUGAGACGUUUAUCAGCGAUUGAAACGUUGCCACGGCCAAUGAUGUUUGGACCUUCAGAUAAAGUUAUCCUCGGAGAUGACUCGUCUUCCUUCAAAUCUGCUUUCAGUGGGAUCAAAUACGCAACCUAUAAUAACAGAUACAACGACAAAUCAGAGUAAUGCAUCGAAAUUGCAGUCAUUGGAAAAAACGAAAAUUAGGGUUUUGUGUUGAAUUACCUGAGAGUGAGCCAUUAAGGAAGACAAGUGUCUGAGCUUGAAGUGAGCUGAGGAAGAAGAAGAAGAAGAGGAAGCAAAACGCAGCGUUUUAGUGAACCCAAAACACUGGAUGGGAUCAAGUAAGAAGUUGGCGAAAAUUUUUGGGUGUUUCAAUGGGGAAGUAAGUAAGAAUUUAAUCAACAAACUCAUUGUAACGGUAACGGUUCUCACGCCGGCGGCGACAAUCACCACCGCAUCAUCAUCACGGUGGCUCUUUGUCUUGUCUAAUUAUACGCUUAUUCAAGGCUUGUAGUCAUCAUAGUCUGGGUGGUGUAGUCGGUUAUCACGCUAGUCUCACACACUAGAGGUCCCCGGUUCGAACCCGGGCUCAGACAUUUAUUUUUAUUUUCCAUAUUUUUUUUGCAUUGACUAAUAGUGUGUACAUUGUUACUUUAUCAGAGUUAUUAAAAAAGCCAUUAUACUCAAUCAAUAACUAGAUAGACCUUGUAUUUAUCUAUAUAUUCCACGUUAUACUAAUUUCCUUUUACAAACUUGUAUACAUCUGCGUCAUUACUUCAAAUAUCAAUAUACACAUUAGUAACCACCAUAAUGUCGUAAGCGAGUUAAGCUUGUUUAAUUGAGUAGUAAGCAGUAAGCACGGUCCUGAAUCCACCUUCCCCUCAGACGCACAUUAUAUUCGAAAAAGUAUAAAAAAUAUGGGAUCAAAAGAACAACUAUAUAUCUCGCAAUUACGUUGAAAUGUUACAAUCAAAUAGAGUGUGACUGGAUUUGGAUGAACAUGUUGCAAAUUGUUACGGGGACAAAAUAAUUGAUGUGAUGUUGAUCAAGUCCAAAUCUUAUUAAACUAUGUUGUGUAACUCCAAAACGUUUUGUAAGAUACUGUCAAAAGGAUAUUAAUUAAUUAUGUUAAAGACAUAUGUAUUAUAUAUUUUUGCCCUCUCCGAGUCCUAGCUACCGUAUCAUUGUCACUUUGUCAGUUUAGAAGUCCACUAUCAUCUUACAAGCUAUAUCGCUCAUUGUUAAUUCUCCUACCUACCAGCCAUUGUCUACGUGUUUAAUAGAUUAGAUAUGGACGGCUUAUGUUUACAUUUUAAUUGUAUACUUGACGUAUAUUAUAGUUUUUCUUGCAGUUUACUUGUCAAUUUCAGAAUAGUUAUCGACAAAUUAUCAUUAUUCGUCGAUCGUUGUUAAGUGUUUUUAUUCAAUCCAUUUAAACACCUAGUUGACUUAAAGAUCAGAAGAUUACCAAAUUCAAAGAACUUUUAAGUUUCUGUUAGUUAUUAUUUUUCCUUUUUAAAAUUAUUUGGCAGCCAUUUUCUGGUGAGAUUUGUAAUAAUAUACAUCAAGAAAGCCGUUAACUCACACAAAAAUUAUAAUUAAUAUUCCACAAACAAUUCUAUAUAAUUAAUUCAAGAAAUUUACAAAAACAUUCCACACCUUGCUCUUUAAAACUCAAUGCUGUAACCACGACCACUUGUAUUUAAACUUAAACUAUACAGUACUUUUAACUUCCGUGAUAUUAAUUGUGACUUAAGUAGGCUAGUAUAAAUAACAUCACACCAAUCUUUAUGUCAAUUAGUACUAGUAGCAUCAAGCAUCGACCAAAAGAGAAGCUAAUAACAAUAUGGCGGCUUUGAGGAUGACUAUCUCUUGUGUCAUGUUCCUUCAAUUACUAUCGUGCUUGCUCUCUUCAUUUGCUCCAACCAAUGUGCAAGGAUUGAAAGUUGGGUUCUACGACAAGGCAUGCCCAAAAGCUGAGCUUAUUGUCAAGAAGGUUGUCUUCGAGGCAAUGAAGAAGGACCCGACACUUGGAGCUCCUUUGCUAAGAAUGUUUUUCCAUGAUUGCUUCGUUCGGGUAAUGUCCUCAAUAUCCAUUUCGUCUUUUUGGGGCACUUAAUCGAUCUAAUUAUUGAAUCAUGAUGUAUUAGGGAUGUGAAGGGUCAGUCUUGCUAGAGCUAAAGAACAAACAAGAUGAGAAAAACUCAAUCCCUAACCUCACCCUUAGAGGGUUUGAGAUCAUAGACAAUGCAAAGGCAGCUCUAGAAAAGGAGUGUCCGGGCAUUGUUUCUUGCUCUGAUGUGUUGGCUAUUGUCGCUAGGGAUGCAAUGGUUGCGGUAAGUAUAAAGCUUUUUAGUAUCAAGCGUUACUGAUCUAAUAUUUGGUCGAACUCACGGUAUCUUUAGUACACACCCUCCUUUACAUGGUGAUUAUAAACUCCAUAAAUUAGGUUGGACGCACUCUUUUUUUUUUUUUCUUUUAAUGCUACAAAAUGCACUUGACGUAAACUCCGAGAGACUACUAGUUCAGGUUUACGUUUGAGAUUUUCUGAAUGGUCAUAAAGAAAAUCCAUAGAAUCUGUUAUAUGUGAUAUGUUGGAUUUUUAAGACUUGUGAUAUACCAAUUAAUAUAUAUUCAGCUCAAUGGACCGUCAUGGGAGGUUGAAACAGGAAGAAGAGACGGUAUAGUUACAAACAUCAGUGAGGCCCUAUUAAACCUACCAUCACCAUUUGCUAAUAUCAGUAGCCUUAUCACUCAAUUCCAAUCCAAAGGCCUGGACAAGAAAGACCUCGUUGUGCUUUCAGGUAUAUGUGUUAUAGAAUCAGAAAACUCAUUAGUUAUGCUUGACCUGAAAGUUAGAAAAGCAGUCUCCAAUCAAUUUUUUUUAGAUUAAAAAAUCCCAUAUAUACCUUAUUCAGAUUUUGAAACGUAGAAAGAACAACUCAUUCACUUUUUCGAUAUUUCACAAGCUUUUAUAUUUCAUUCUCAGUUUCCUCCUUUUUCCCAAGCAUUGUUUGUUAUUUUAGACUUUUAAAAUAGCAACUAGCAAGAAUACUCUGGUCUUCUAUGAUAUAAUCUUAGGUUUGGCUUGGGAUAUCCACUUAUAAUAUAAUAAAAAUAAAUUCAUUCUCAACUUAUUUUUAUAUAUUUUAUUUACAUUUUGAUAGGUGGACACACAAUAGGUAACGGACACUGCCCUCAAAUCACAAACCGGCUCUACAAUUUCACCGGGAAAGGAGAUAGUGAUCCAAACUUAGACACGAAAUACGCAGCCGCCCUUAGAAAAAAAUGCAAGCCAACUGAUACCACGACGGCUUUAGAAAUGGAUCCAGGAAGCUUUAAAACGUUUGACGGGAGCUACUUCAAGCUUGUGUCUCAAAGAAGAGGGUUGUUUCAAUCUGAUGCAGCUCUUUUAGACAAUCAAGAAACUAAGUCUUAUCUUCUCAAGCAAAUGAAUAGUGACGGGUACUCUACUUUCUUUGAAGACUUUGGUGUUUCUAUGGUAAAGAUGGGUCGGAUUGGGGUCUUAACAGGUGAAGUUGGACAAGUUCGCAAGAAAUGCAGAAUGGUUAACUAAUUAAGUAUAGUAAUAUGCAUGUGAGAUUGUGUUAUGACUAUCAUAUUACGUUUGUGUGUGUGUGUGUUUUUUUUCCUAAGGAAUAAUGUGUGUAAUAUAAUCAUGUGUAUUGUACAUUUGUACAAUAUAAUGGAAGGUUAAAUUGUAAAAUCCGACUAUGCCAAGUUUUUCUUUCAAAUUGAUUACAUCUUUGUACUGAUAUUAUUCUAAGAUUUACUGAACUUUUGCAUGGUAUUCAAAUAUAUACAGUGAACGAUUAGUAAAAUAGCUAGUGAAAAGAAUAUCCACGUUCAUCAUCAUCCAAAAGAAUAUUAUUUGAUUUUCCUUUAAUUUAUAUAAAAUAUAUAAUUUGUUUUUUAAUAGGCUAUAUAUCAUCAUAUAUCCAAUGUUGGUUUUUCAGCUUUGUAGUAAAAAUUGUUGCAUUAUAUCAUUGGCAGCUAACUAGAAAAUAAAGUUGUAACUUGUAAAUAAUUUUGCAUUUGAAGAUCUUAUCAUUAAUGUAAUUAAGCUGUAUUAUGUUGUUGUUCCCCUACCAUAUCAUUGUUAUAACUUAGACUCGGAAUAUGCAGCCAGGCUAAGAAGAAAAUGUAAGCUACUUCAAGCGGGUGUCUCAGAGAAGAGGGUUGUUUCGAUCAAGAUGCAGCUUCUUUUAAACAACCACGAAACCAAGUCUUACGUUCUCAAGCAAAUUAAACGUAGCCACGGUUCUAGUUUCGUUAAGGACGUUGGUGUCUCUAUAUAUAGUGAAGAUGGGUCGGAUUGAAGUUUUAACAGGUCGGGCCGGGGAGGUUCGCAAGAAGUGCAGAAUGGUACGUUAACUAAGUUAUGAGAUUGUGUUAUUCUUAUUUGUGGUUUUUUCCUAAGCAAUAUUGCUGAAAAGUCUGCCACUAUUUAUGGAAGAGUCUUUAUUUGUUGCGUUUUGUUUUUCUACCAUCUUUGGAAUUAACUUUUCCUUUGUAAUUUGCCAUUUAAAAAAAAAAAAAAUUCAUGUAGCUUUAUUUUAAUUUAACUGUAUCGGAACUAAUAAAAUAAUUGAAGAAUAUCACAAAAAUCUAUUUUGGUCAAAUAGACAAAAACUAUAUUUACAACUUUCCGGUAAGCAUCAAUAUAUUUUUUUCUGUUAGGAAUAAGUGAGGCAAAUUUUUAAAUAAUAAUAUUAAUUUUGGGUAAUUUUAAAUUUUAAUCGAAUAACACCAAAAUUUUAACCAUAAUUAUAACAGAAUAUCUACUAACACUAGAUUUUUUUUUUUUUUUAGUAGUCUGUUAUUAAAAUAAAAAUGUAAUCAAUAAUAAAAACAAAAAGAAACAAUAAAAAAUAACAGAGCAUUAAAAUAAAACAGGGCCUCACCCUAAACCUCUACAAUCCUUUUCAGUAGUACGAUCCUGCAACUAUGGCGGACUUCCGAGAACAAGAUAAAAAGUGAGUCAUCCGUCUUUUGUGAGUUGUGACACUACAUGCAAUCUCUUUAGCUACGGAAUUGGCUUUCAGUGGUAACAUUAGAUUUUACUGCAUAAUUUAUAAAAAUGAUUGAAUAGUUCGGAUUUAUAAAUUUAAAUUUAUUACAUGAUUGAAUAAUAUAUCCCUAAACAUCAUUAUCAUUCUACUCAUAAUAAAAAAACUUACACAAUGUGAGGUAUUGAAAUCCUUAAAAAAAAACUGCAGAUUAAUUGUUACAAAAGAGGAAGACUUUGAAACCGGAGACUUUAGGAAAAAAACAAAAGAAAACUUUCGAAUACGACUACCUUAGAUUAGACCUUGUUUUAUUCUCCGUGAUACAAAAGCCAAGCGAAUUGUGGGUAAAUAAACACUAUAGUUAAUGAGCAUCACUCAAGUUUUAUCAUAUCCCAGUGACGACUUAAUAAGCAUCACUCAAGUUUUAUCAUCAGCACCCACAAGUCUCUUCAUUCUUGACUAAUAUUCACUAGCUAUAUAUAAUUCAAUAAAUGAACAAAACAAUCCACAUCUUGCUCUUUAACCUACAAUGCUGUAAGGCACGACCAAUUGUAUUAUAACUUAAACUACUUUUAACUUCCGUGAAAUUAAUUAUUACUUAAGUAACCACUAGUAUAUAUAAAUAACGACACCAAUCUUUAUGUCAAUUAGUACUAGUAGCAUCAAGCCUCGAUCAAAAGAGAAGCUGAUAACAAUAUGGCUGCUUUGAGGAUGACUAUCUCUUGUGUCAUCCUCCUUCAAGUACUAUCGUGCUUGCUCUCUUCAUUUGCUCCAACCAAUGUGCAAGGAUUGAAAGUUGGGUUCUACGACAAGGCAUGCCCGAAAGCUGAGCUCAUUGUCAAGAAGUUUGUCUUCGAGGCAAUGAAGAAGGACCCGACACUUGGAGCUCCUUUGCUAAGAUUGUUUUUCCAUGAUUGCUUCGUUCGGGUAAUAUCCUCAAUAUCCAUUUCGUCUUUUUGGGGAACUUUAUCGAUCUAAUGACUGAAUCAUGCAUGGUAAUUUAGGGAUGCGAAGGGUCAGUCUUGCUAGAGCUAAAGAACAAAAAAGAUGAGAAAAACGCAAUGCCCAACCUCAGCCUUCGAGGGUUUGAGAUCAUAGACAAUGCCAAGGCAGCUCUAGAAAAGGAGUGUCCGGGCAUUGUUUCUUGCUCUGAUGUGUUGGCUAUUGUCGCUAGGGAUGCAAUGGUUGCGGUAAGUAUAGAGUUUUACUAUCAGUUUAUAGUGGAUCUAAUAUUUGGUCGAGCUCACGGUAUCUUUAUUACACCCUUCCUUUUUUUUUUUUGCGCUUAGUAAAAAUUUCACAUGGCGAUUAUAGACUCCAUAAAUUAUGUUGGACGCAUAUAAUCCAUAAAUCUGUUGUAUAUGUAAUUUGUUAGAUUUUAAAGAUUGUAUACUUUUAUGAUAUACCAAUCAAUAUAUAUUCAGCUCAAUGGACCGUCGUGGGAGGUUGAAACAGGAAGAAGAGACGGUCUGGUUACAAACAUGUAUGAGGCCCUAUCAAACCUACCAUCACCACUUAGUAAUAUCAGUAGCCUUAUCACUCGAUUCCAUUCCAAAGGCCUGGACAAGAAAGACCUCGUUGUGCUUUCAGGUUUGUUAUAGAAUUAGAAAUUAAAUUCACAAAUCAUACCUGAACCAUGCAUCAAAAUAAAAUAAAAAAAGUACAGUGUUUUUUGGAACAAACAAGAAACCAGAUAAAAACUCAUUAACAAAGAACAAAAUUUAUAAAUUGGUUUUGUCCGACAUUUGAUAGAAUUGACUUGAAAAAAAUUAGAAAGGCAGUCUUCAGUCAAAUUUUUUGAGAUUGAAAAAGACCAUAGUUUGUAUCAUAUUCACUUUCUUGAUAUUUCACUAGCUUUUAUAUGAGAAGAAUUUAUUCUUUUAUUCUCAUUUUUCUCCUUUUUCCAAGCAUUUGUUUUUGUUUUUUUUUGCUAUUUUAGACUUUUAAAAUAGCAACUAGCAAGAAUACUCUGGUCUACUACAUAAUUUGUAGAUUAAUCUUAGUUUUGGCUUGGGAUAUCCAGUUAUAAAAUAAAUAAAAGUAUAACCAUUCUCAAAUCAACUUAUUUGUAUAUACUUACAUUAUAAUAGGUGGACACACACUAGGGAAAGGACAUUGUCCUCAAAUCAGAAACCGGCUCUACAACUUCACCGGGAAAGGAGAUAGUGACCCAAACUUAGACACGAAAUACGCAGCCAAACUCAGAAAUAAAUGCAAGCCAACUGACAACACGAUGGCAUUAGAGAUGGAUCCAGGAAGCUUUAAAACGUUCGAUGUGAGCUACUUUAAGCGUGUGUCUCAAAGAAGAGGGUUGUUUCAAUCAGAUGCAGCUCUUUUAGACAAUCAAGAGACCAAGUCUUAUCUUCUCAAGCAAAUGAAUAGUGAUGGCUCUACUUUCUUUAAAGACUUUGGUGUCUCUAUGGUAAAGAUGGGUCGGAUUGGGGUUUUAACGGGAAAGGUUGGGCAAGUUCGCAAAAAAUGCAGAAUGGUUAAUUAAUUAAGUGUUAGGUAUAUGUCUGUGAGAUUGUGUUGUGUUACGUUUGUUUCCUAAAGAAUAAAGUGUGUACCUAUCAAAAAAGUAUACUGUGUGUAAUCAUGUGUAUUGUAACAAUUAAGUGUUUAAACUGUAAAAUCAGAUUAUGUCAAGUUUUUCUUUCUAAUUGAUUUUAUAUACAGUAUAUAUAUAUAUUUAGAGUUUCGUUUAUCUGCCAUCUUAAUUUGGAGCUUAUAGAAUAAAUUAAGAUUUCAACUUUAAAUGAGUCGAACUUAUCGUCAAUGUUUUAAAUAUUUUAUUUUGAAUCUAACAUUUAUUUAGUAGGUGGCACAUUGAUUUUGGAACUUUUGUUGUUCUUAACCUCUAAUAGUCGGUCGAGAAAUUGUCUACGUAUACAUUUUUUUUUUUGAGUACGUAUGUAAAUGUAUCAUAAUUCAUAUGCAGUAAAAAGAUAAUGGAGCAUAAAGUUUCAAGGAUCUGAUAAUAUAUACAUUCACGGUUUAUAUACACAUGACAAGUUGUGACCUGAUAAAAAGAAAAAAAAAAAGGAAAAAAAAAAAGACUCUUAUAGUAUCUUUAAGAAACAAAAAAGUUCAAGGAAAAUUAAAAAAAAAAAAAAAAAAAACAGAGAAGUAGAAAG